rnacentral:rRNA from 1 species
AGAGUUUGAUCAUGGCUCAGAUUGAACGCUGGCGGCAUGCUUUACACAUGCAAGUCGAGCGGCAGCGCGGGGGCAACCCUGGCGGCGAGCGGCGAACGGGUGAGUAACACAUCGGAACGUGUCCCGUAGUGGGGGAUAGCCCGGCGAAAGCCGGAUUAAUACCGCAUAUGCUCUACGGAGGAAAGCGGGGGAUUCGCAAGAACCUCGCGCUAUGGGAGCGGCCGAUGUCCGAUUAGCUUGUUGGUGAGGUAAAGGCUCACCAAGGCGACGAUCGGUAGCUGGUCUGAGAGGAUGAUCAGCCACACUGGGACUGAGACACGGCCCAGACUCCUACGGGAGGCAGCAGUGGGGAAUUUUGGACAAUGGGGGCAACCCUGAUCCAGCCAUGCCGCGUGAGUGAAGAAGGCCUUCGGGUUGUAAAACUCUUUUGGCCGGAAAGAAAAGAUCUCGUCUAAUAAACGAGGUUCUUGACGGUACCGGCAGAAUAAGCACCGGCUAACUACGUGCCAGCAGCCGCGGUAAUACGUAGGGUGCGAGCGUUAAUCGGAAUUACUGGGCGUAAAGAGUGCGUAGGCGGUUCUUUGUGUCCGCUGUGAAAUCCCCGGGCUUAACCUGGGAAUGGCAGUGGAAACUAGAGGACUUGAAUCCGGCAGAGGGGGGUGGAAUGCCACGUGUAGCAGUGAAAUGCGUAGAUAUGUGGCGGAACACCGAUGGCGAANNNNNNCCCCUGGGCUGAGAUUGACGCUCAGGCACGAAAGCGUGGGGAGCAAACAGGAUUAGAUACCCUAGUAGUCC